rnacentral:rRNA from 1 species
GACGAACGCUGGCGGCGUGCUUAACACAUGCAAGUCGAACGGAAAGGCCCUGCUUUUGUGGGGUGCUCGAGUGGCGAACGGGUGAGUAACACGUGAGUAUCCUGCCCUUGACUUUGGGAUAACUUCAGGAAACUGGGGCUAAUACCGGAUAGGAGCUCCUGCUGCAUGGUGGGGGUUGGAAAGUUUCGGCGGUUGGGGAUGGACUCGCGGGUUAUUAGCUUGUUGGGGGGGUAGUGGCUUACCAAGGGUUUGACGGGUAGCCGGCCUGGGCGGGUAGACGGCCACCAUAGGACUGAGAUACGGACCAGACGCCAAAGGGGGGCAACGGGGGGGAAUAUUGCACAAUGGGCGGAAGCCUGAUGCGGCAACGCCGCGGGCGGGAUGACGGCCUUCGGGUUGUAAACCGCUUUCGCCUGUGACGAAGCGUGAGUGACGGUAAUGGGUAAAGAAGCACCGGCUAACUACGUG